ACGUUAAUCGGGGCAGGGUGAGUCGACCCCUAAGGCGAGGCCGAAAGGCGUAGUCGAUGGGAAACAGGUUAAUAUUCCUGUACUUGGUGUUACUGCGAAGGGGGGACGGAGAAGGCUAUGUUGGCCGGGCGACGGUUGUCCCGGUUUAAGCGUGUAGGCUGGUUUUCCAGGCAAAUCCGGAAAAUCAAGGCUGAGGCGUGAUGACGAGGCACUACGGUGCUGAAGCAACAAAUGCCCUGCUUCCAGGAAAAGCCUCUAAGCAUCAGGUAACAUCAAAUCGUACCCCAAACCGACACAGGUGGUCAGGUAGAGAAUACCAAGGCGCUUGAGAGAACUCGGGUGAAGGAACUAGGCAAAAUGGUGCCGUAACUUCGGGAGAAGGCACGCUGAUAUGUAGGUGAAGUCCCUCGCGGAUGGAGCUGAAAUCAGUCGAAGAUACCAGCUGGCUGCAACUGUUUAUUAAAAACACAGCACUGUGCAAACACGAAAGUGGACGUAUACGGUGUGACGCCUGCCCGGUGC
rnacentral:rRNA from 1 species